rnacentral:rRNA from 1 species
GACGAACGCUGGCGGCGUGCCUAAUACAUGCAAGUCGAACGAGUGACCCCUUGGUGGCAACACCUUGGGCGAUCUAGUGGCGAACGGGUGAGUAACACGUGAGGAACCUGCCCCGAAGAC